CUCUUAGUUGGAGGUUUAUAUGCCUCUUCUUCUGCAGAAAUUGUUUCAUUCACAAGGUGCAAAAAUAUUUCUUACUCAAGAGGAUUUAAAAUUUAAAUUUAGUGCGUUCAACCAUUCGGUUUUUACCACUGAUAGGCGAUGCGCUUGCAGGAAUGAAUGCAAAAUAUACCAUCAAUAUCACAAUGCAUCAUAACUGUCUUCAUAAGGACCACCAUCAUCGCCAUCAACCUCCGGCCUCAUCGGGUAUCAAUAUCAUCUCAAUAGUAUCCUCCGGACUCGAACCGAGUAUCCAUAUUAUCACAAUAUCUUCCGGCCUUGCCGGGUAUCAAUAUCAUCUCAAUAGUAUCCUCCGGACUCGAACCGGAUAUCAAUAUCAUCAUAAUAUCCUCCGGCCUUGCCGGGUAUAAAUAUCAUCUCAAUAGUAUCCUCCGGACUCGAACCGGAUAUCAAUAUCAUCAUAAU
rnacentral:lncRNA from 1 species